rnacentral:rRNA from 1 species
UGCCUACGGGAGGCUGCAGUGAGGAAUAUUGCCCAAUGGGGGAAACCCUGAGGCAGCAACGCCGCGUGAACGAAGACGGCCUUCGGGUUGUAAAGUUCUUUUCUGGGGGACGACACAGACGGUACCCCAGGAAUAAGUUCCGGCUAACUACGUGCCAGCAGCCGCGGUAAAACGUAGGGGACAAGCGUUAUCCGGAUUUACUGGGCGUAAAGCGCACGUAGGCGGACGGGUAAGUUGGCCGUGAAAGCUCCUGGCUUAACUGGGAGAGGUCGGACAAAACUGCCAGACUUGAGGCUGAGAGAGGAGAGCGGAAUUCCCGGUGUAGUGGUGGAAUGCGUAGAUAUCGGGAGGAACACCAGUGGCGAAGGCGGCUCUCUGGCUCAGAACUGACGCUGAGGUGCGAAAGCGUGGGGAGCGAACGGGAUUAGAUACCCUAGUAGUCG